CGGGGCUUAAAGUCUUGUAAUUGGAAUGAUGGGAAUUUAAACCUCUUCCAGAGUAUCAAUUGGAGGGCAAGUCUGGUGCCAGCAGCCGCGGUAAUUCCAGCUCCAAUAGCGUAUAUUAAAAUUGUUGCAGUUAAAAAGCUCGUAGUUGAAUUUCUGCUGCAUUGCUUGUGUCCCUCUUGGGUCUGUGCAUGUGGCUUUUUUCGGACGGGGUUUCUUUGUCUGAAUGUUUACUUUGAGAAAAUUAGAGUGCUCAAAGCAGGCUUUCGCCUUGAAUAGUUUAGCAUGGAAUAAUAAAGUAGGACUUUGGUUCUAUUUUGUUGGUUUUAGGUACCAAAGUAAUGGUUAAUAGGAACAGUUGGGGGCAUUCGUAUUUAACUGUCAGAGGUGAAAUUCUUAGAUUUGUUAAAGACGAACUACUGCGAAAGCAUUUGCCAAGGAUGUUUUCAUUAAUCAAGAAC
rnacentral:rRNA from 1 species